AAUAACUGUAGAAUUGUCUGUUUUCACCCCAUGGGCAUGUAUUGAGUAGGGCCUUGUGGCCAUAUUUUUAAAGGUAAUUCUAAUUUUAUCUCCAACAUCUCCACGAAGUUGUGGACCUGGCAAAAGUAAGAAAGAAGAGUGGCUUAUACCUAUCAGAUGCAAAAUUCUAACUCAGUAAUGGAAGCAAAUAUCAGGUAACUUUCUUAGCAUUAAGGCCAGAGUCUAUUCCUCCCCCCGCCCAAACUUUGGCUUCAUACUAUACUACUCUUGGAUUUACACCUGGCCUCAGAAGAUUCAGAAUAAAAACACUAGUAAUGGUUGCCUCUAUAAAUGGAAACCCAGGGUGCAUCUCUCAUCAAGAGUGCUAUGGGAGGUUUUGGCCUAAAAGUCCCCUGCAGGGCAAUGCCCCAAUCUUGAUGAGUCAACUAUGACCCUACACUGGCCAAGAGUCAUUGUAUAGCACUUGCUCUCAUUUCUCAGCAUUUGGACUUCCAGGCCUUCUUGAGUGUGAGUUUAUGGCAGUACUGCAUUUGGAAGAGUGGGUGGGGCCACCCCCUCCCAUUUCUACCUUCUCUCUAGCCAAUCUUAGCUUGUCUGCUGCUAGGAGAAUUUCUGAGACCCAGCAACAAUGCCAUUCUCCCUCGCAUGUCUUCUUCCAGGGGUUGAGGAUAGCAAGCCCCAGGGUACUCUGUUAGUAUGGAAAUACAGUGGGGCUGGGAAUGAUGUCCCUUGCACUGGGUAAUCUUGAAGAAAUUUCCCAAGACCAAUGUUGGUCAAAUUCUUCGACAUUCUCUCUUAAAAGGAUUUCUGAAAAAAGGAAAGCAACUCUUCCAUGCCUUGUGUACAGCAACAAUUUUUCUUUUCUUUAUUUCCUUGUCUAUAUGUACUUUUAUUUCUUGGAGUUAAUCACUCACAUGGCUAUUUUAAAGACAAAUAGCUAUGACUUGGGAGGGGGAGAUGGGCAGAAUAACAGGGAGAGUCUGACUAAGAUUUUCAUUAGAAAAUAAUUUCUAGGAAUUUCACCAAAAAGAUAGGCAUCAAUUUGACGAACACCAAAUACAUACAAUUUCAUUAGUAUAUGGGAUAAUGCUUUGUUUCUAAGAGAGGUAAGCGAUAUUUUUAUUAUGCCAUAUUCUUUAGUAAGUAUAGGCUUCUUGUUUUUAUUGUAUAACUUUUAUUUUUAUUUGAAUACCUUUGACUAUGAACUGGGAAGUUAAACCUGUGGACAUGUACUCUUAUUGCACAUAGUAUCACAUCGCUACCCCACACCGAUGAUUAAAGUACCUAGAAUUCCCAGAUGUUCUUCUCUGUUUUCUCUCUUCACAGGAACUCUGAAUGUGCUGUCCAUGUACCGCCGGUACACAACUUUCUUGUACUUGGAGCCUAUGUAAAACUCUUUCUUAUCUAAAAAUGCAUUCGAAACACUUAAACAAAACAGACACACGACUAAGUCCUACAUUCCAAUGACCUUCUGGUUACCUGUAUCUCAGCCGUGACUCUGGGGUCAUGCAGACACAUGGACCAUUUGGCUGAUGUAGGAGACUACCCAGACCGCCUUAGCAGAGAUAGAGUUUAUCCCCAGUUAGCCUGGGACGUGACAACGGCCACAUCAUGUUCUCACACAGGAAUUUCAGAGAAAAGUACUAAACCAAGAUUGGAAUUGGGGCUCCCUGGGUGGCUCAGCGGUUUGGCACCUGCCUUCAGCCCACAGUGUGAUCCUGGAGUCCUGGGAUCGAGGCCCGCAUCCGGCUCCCUGCAUGGAGCCUGCUUCUCCCUCUGCCCGUGUC